rnacentral:rRNA from 1 species
GGUGAACGCUGGCGGCGUGCCUAAUACAUGCCAGUCGAGCGAACGGACGAGAAGCUUGCUUCUCUGAUGUUAGCGGCGGACGGGUGAGUAACACGUGGAUAACCUACCUAUAAGACUGGGAUAACUUCGGGAAACCGGAGCUGAUACCGGAUGAUAUUUUGAACCGCAUGGUUCAAAAGUGAAAGACGGUCUUGCUGUCACUUAUAGAUGGAUCCGCGCUGCAUUAGCUAGUUGGUAAGGUAACGGCUUACCAAGGCAACGAUGCAUAGCCGACCUGAGAGGGUGAUCGGCCACACUGGAACUGAGACACGGUCCAGACUCCUACGGGAGGCAGCAGUAGGGAAUCUUCCGCAAUGGGCGAAAGCCUGACGGAGCAACGCCGCGUGAGUGAUGAAGGUCUUCGGAUCGUAAAACUCUGUUAUUAGGGAAGAACAUAUGUGUAAGUAACUGUGCACAUCUUGACGGUACCUAAUCAGAAAGCCACGGCUAACUACGUG